GAUCAUGGCUCAGGAUGAACGCUAGCGGCAGGCUUAACACAUGCAAGUCGAGGGGCAGCGGGGAGUAGCAAUACUCCGCCGGCGACCGGCGCACGGGUGCGUAACGCGUAUGCAACCUGCCUUACACUCUUGGACAGCCUUCUGAAAGGGAGAUUAAUACAAGAUGUUAUCAUGAGUAAGCAUUUUCGCAUGAUUAAAGGUUUACCGGUGUAAGAUGGGGAUGCGUUCCAUUAG
rnacentral:rRNA from 1 species